rnacentral:rRNA from 1 species
AGCGAACGCUGGCGGCAGGCCUAACACAUGCAAGUCGAACGAACUCUUCGGAGUUAGUGGCGGACGGGUGAGUAACACGUGGGAACGUGCCUUUUGGUUCGGAAUAACUCAGGGAAACUUGUGCUAAUACCGAAUGUGCCCUUCGGGGGAAAGAUUUAUCGCGAUUAGAGCGGCCCGCGUCUGAUUAGCUAGUUGGUGAGGUAACGGCUCACCAAGGCGACGAUCAGUAGCUGGUCUGAGAGGAUGACCAGCCACACUGGGACUGAGACACGGCCCAGACUCCUGCGGGAGGCAGCAGUGGGGAAUCUUGCGCAAUGGGCGGAAGCCUGACGCAGCCAUGCCGGGUGAAUGAUGAAGGUCUUAGGAUUGUAAAAUUCUUUCACCGGGGACGAUAAUGACGGUACCCGGAGAAGAAGCCCCGGCUAACUUCGUG